AGCUGUCUCCCCAGUCUUCGCCCUAACGCCAAACAACUCAGUUCUUCCCCAUAUGUCUUUGGUGCCUUUCCAGCUGCCUCCCCUCCAUGCUGAAGCUUAGAGGGAGAAGGUCUGAAUGGUAAAGGAAGUAAAGUCGCUGGAUUAAGGGGAGAGGUAGAUGCUACUGAGACCUGAGGCAUUUGGAGAAAAAGGGUGUGUAGCUGCUGAAUGCGAGAAGAAUCCUCUCUGGUGGGACUACAAAGGAGGUCAUCUACAUACUGAAGAAGAAUGGACCCUUUUAUGUCUAAUUGCUGCAAGUCACUGGCUAUGGCCUGCCCAAAGAGGUGGAGACUGCCCCGAAAUCCUUGAAGAAUGGUCCAGGUUAGCUGUUGGGACUGCCCAGUGUCUGGGUCAGUCCAGGUGAAAGCAAAAAGGUUUUGAGAACCUGGAUGUAAGGGAAUAGUAAA